rnacentral:rRNA from 1 species
UGCAAGUCGAGCGGAAACGAUCCCAGCUUGCUGGGAGGCGUCGAGCGGCGGACGGGUGAGUAAUGCAUAGGAAUCUGCCCGGUAGUGGGGGAUAACUUGAGGAAACUCAAGCUAAUACCGCAUACGCCCUACGGGGGAAAGCAGGGGCUCUUCGGACCUUGCGCUAUCGGAUGAGCUUAUGUCGGAUUAGCUAGUUGGUGAGGUAACGGCUUACCAAGGCGACGAUCCGUAGCUGGUCUGAGAGGAUGAUCAGCCACAUCGGGACUGAGACACGGCCCGAACUCCUACGGGAGGCAGCAGUGGGGAAUAUUGGACAAUGGGCGAAAGCCUGAUCCAGCCAUGCCGCGUGUGUGAAGAAGGCCCUCGGGUUGUAAAGCACUUUCAGUGAGGAAGAAGGCUUGUCGGUUAAUACCCGGCAGGAAAGACAUCACUCACAGAAGAAGCCCCGGCUAACUCCGUGCCAGCAGCCGCGGUAAUACGGAGGGGGCAAGCGUUAAUCGGAAUUACUGGGCGUAAAGCGUGCGUAGGCGGCUUGGUAAGCCGGUUGUGAAAGCCCCGGGCUCAACCUGGGAAUGGCAUCCGGAACUGUCAGGCUAGAGUGCAGGAGAGGAAGGUAGAAUUCCCGGUGUAGCGGUGAAAUGCGUAGAGAUCGGGAGGAAUACCAGUGGCGAAGGCGGCCUUCUGGACUGACACUGACGCUGAGGUACGAAAGCGUGGGUAGCAAACAGGAUUAGAUACCCUGGUAGUCCACGCCGUAAACGAUGUCGACUAGCCGUUGGGGUCCUUGAGACCUUUGUGGCGCAGUUAACGCACUAAGUCGACCGCCUGGGGAGUACGGCCGCAAGGUUAAAACUCAAAUGAAUUGACGGGGGCCCGCACAAGCGGUGGAGCAUGUGGUUUAAUUCGAUGCAACGCGAAGAACCUUACCUACCCUUGACAUCGUGCGAACUUGG